rnacentral:rRNA from 1 species
GAUGAACGCUAGCUACAGGCUUAACACAUGCAAGUCGAGGGGAAACGACAUCGAAAGCUUGCUUUUGAUGGGCGUCGACCGGCGCACGGGUGAGUAACGCGUAUCCAACCUGCCCACCACUUGGGGAUAACCUUGCGAAAGUAAGACUAAUACCCAAUGAGAUCCCACGAAGGCAUCCGAAUGGGAUUAAAGAUUUAUCGGUGAUGGAUGGGGAUGCGUCUGAUUAGCUUGUUGGCGGGGUGACGGCCCACCAAGGCAACGAUCAGUAGGGGUUCUGAGAGGAAGGUCCCCCACAUUGGAACUGAGACACGGUCCAAACUCCUACGGGAGGCAGCAGUGAGGAAUAUUGGUCAAUGGGCGAGAGCCUGAACCAGCCAAGUAGCGUGCAGGAUGACGGCCCUAUGGGUUGUAAACUGCUUUUAUAAGGGAAUAAAGUGGGUCACGUGUGACUUUUUGCAUGUACCUUAUGAAUAAGGACCGGCUAAUUCCGUGC